rnacentral:snRNA from 1 species
GUGUUCACUUCGGCAGCACAUUUACUAAAAUUGGAAGGAUACAGAGAAGAUUAGCAUGGCCCCUGUGCGAGGAUGACACACAAAUUCGUGAAGCGUUCUAUAUAUAU